CCUACGGGUGGCAGCAGUGGGGAAUAUUGGGCAAUGGGCGCAAGCCUGACCCAGCAACGCCGCGUGAAGGAAGAAGGCUUUCGGGUUGUAAACUUCUUUUGACAGGGAAGAGCAGAAGACGGUACCUGUCGAAUAAGCCACGGCUAACUACGUGACAGCAGCCGCGGUAAUACGUAGGUGGCAAGCGUUGUCCGGAUUUACGGGGUGUAAAGGGCGUGUAGCCGGGCUGACAAGUCAGAUGUGAAAUCCGGGGGCUCAACCCCCGAACUGCAUUGGAAACUGUUGGUCUUGAGUAUCGGAGCGGCCGGCGGAAUUCCUAGUGUAGCGGUGACAUGCGUAGAUAUUAGGCGGAACACCAGUGGCGCAGGCGGCCUGCUGGACGACAACUGACGGUGAGGCGC
rnacentral:rRNA from 1 species